rnacentral:rRNA from 1 species
AUGAACGCUAGCGACAGGCUUAACACAUGCAAGUCGAGGGGCAGCACAGGUAGCAAUACCGGGUGGCGACCGGCGCACGGGUGAGUAACGCGUAUGCAACUUACCUAUCAGAGGGGGAUAACCCGGCGAAAGUCGGACUAAUACCGCAUGAAGCAGGGGCCCCGCAUGGGGAUAUUUGCUAAAGAUUCAUCGCUGAUAGAUAGGCAUGCGUUCCAUUAGGCAGUUGGCGGGGUAACGGCCCACCAAACCGACGAUGGAUAGGGGUUCUGAGAGGAAGGUCCCCCACAUUGGUACUGAGACACGGACCAAACUCCUACGGGAGGCAGCAGUGAGGAAUAUUGGUCAAUGGCCGAGAGGCUGAACCAGCCAAGUCGCGUGAGGGAUGAAGGUUCUAUGGAUCGUAAACCUCUUUUAUAAGGGAAUAAAGUGCGGGACGUGUCCCGUUUUGUAUGUACCUUAUGAAUAAGGAUCGGCUAACUCCGUGCCAGCAGCCGCGGUAAUACGGAGGAUCCGAGCGUUAUCCGGAUUUAUUGGGUUUAAAGGGUGCGUAGGCGGCCUUUUAAGUCAGCGGUGAAAGUCUGUGGCUCAACCAUAGAAUUGCCGUUGAAACUGGGGGGCUUGAGUAUGUUUGAGGCAGGCGGAAUGCGUGGUGUAGCGGUGAAAUGCAUAGAUAUCACGCAGAACCCCGAUUGCGAAGGCAGCCUGCCAAGCCAUGACUGACGCUGAUGCACGAAAGCGUGGGGAUGAAACAGGAUUAGAUACCCUGGUAGUCCACGCAGUAAACGAUGAUCACUAGCUGUUUGCGAUACACAGUAAGCGGCACAGCGAAAGCGUUAAGUGAUCCACCUGGGGAGUACGCCGGCAACGGUGAAACUCAAAGGAAUUGACGGGGGCCCGCACAAGCGGAGGAACAUGUGGUUUAAUUCGAUGAUACGCGAGGAACCUUACCCGGGUUUGAACGCAUUCGGACCGAGGUGGAAACACCUUUUCUAGCAAUAGCCGUUUGCGAGGUGCUGCAUGGUUGUCGUCAGCUCGUGCCGUGAGGUGUCGGCUUAAGUGCCAUAACGAGCGCAACCCUUGCCACUAGUUACUAACAGGUGAUGCUGAGGACUCUGGUGGGACUGCCAGCGUAAGCUGCGAGGAAGGCGGGGAUGACGUCAAAUCAGCACGGCCCUUACAUCCGGGGCGACACACGUGUUACAAUGGCGUGGACAAAGGGAGGCCACCUGGCGACAGGGAGCGAAUCCCCAAACCACGUCUCAGUUCGGAUCGGAGUCUGCAACCCGACUCCGUGAAGCUGGAUUCGCUAGUAAUCGCGCAUCAGCCAUGGCGCGGUGAAUACGUUCCCGGGCCUUGUACACACCGCCCGUCAAGCCAUGGGAGCCGGGGGUACCUGAAGUCCGUAACCGCGAGGAUCGGCCUAGGGUAAAACUGGUGACUGGGGCU